CGUGGUAUCCUGUCUGAAUAUGGGGGGACCAUCCUCCAAGGCUAAAUACUCCUGACUGACCGAUAGUGAACCAGUACCGUGAGGGAAAGGCGAAAAGAACCCCGGCGAGGGGAGUGAAAAAGAACCUGAAACCGUGUACGUACAAGCAGUGGGAGCACAGGUUUACCUGUGUGACUGCGUACCUUUUGUAUAAUGGGUCAGCGACUUAUAUUCUGUAGCAAGGUUAACCGAAUAGGG
rnacentral:rRNA from 1 species